GAGAAUAUUCAACGCUGUCCUCGGGAAGCCAAUUAAUUUAAAAUUUGGAUUGAGUUUGAUAUCUCGAUUGAUUGUCGCUUCUGUAUUUGCACCCUUCUUCGCUAUCCUCGUUUUGAAACCUUUGUUUCUGAGCAAGUCUGCUGAUAUUAUUUGGAGUUUGCUUAUGAGCAUUUGCUUCGCGGCACACAAUCUGACCCUAAUGUGGACGUUCUGCAUUUUCAAAACCACCCGUUCGCUCACUGACAUUAUCCUUCGAGAGUAUAAGAUAUAUUACAAAGAUGGGGGCGCUACCGAGAAAAAUACAGUUGUGUUCAAAGAAUUAUGGUUCAAACUAAGAAACGUUGUCCUAGCCACAGGCAGGGUGAGCUCCAUGGCAACAAUGCAAUUAUUGCUGACGUCCACUGUCGUUAUUGUCCUCUGCAUUUAUGAGUUUUCAGCAGGCCGGCUCCAGAAAGAUGCAUUAUUGUUUAAUACCUUUGUGUUUUUCUUUGGUCUCCUUUUAAUAUUUGCAGUAUGUGAGGGCGCUCAUCAUGCUACUCAAAAUGUAAAAUGUGCACUUAAGUCAUAAUUGAAGUAAUUUCAUUUCUCUCUUCAAGUUUGAUUAUGCUGUAAGCAGAGCCAUUGAAAUGACGCAAAAUGAUUUGGACGUGAACAGAUUUUUCGUCUCUUUGAAAAAAAUGUCACCAAUAGUAUCACUGAACGGCUAUUUACGUAUUGACCGCUACUUUUACUCUCAGAUUUUCCUUGGACUGGUUGAAAUUUGGUUGGUUCUGCUUCAGUUUCGGAUAAAGGCCAAGCCAAUUCAGCUCGAAGACUUCUUCUAAAAUUUUACCCGAAAUUUUUAUAUUCG